rnacentral:rRNA from 1 species
UGCAGUCGAGCGACUGAUUAGAAGCUUGCUUCUAUGACGUUAGCGGCGGACGGGUGAGUAACACGUGGGCAACCUGCCUGUAAGACUGGGAUAACUUCGGGAAACCGAAGCUAAUACCGGAUAGGAUCUUCUCCUUCAUGGGAGAUGAUUGAAAGAUGGUUUCGGCUAUCACUUACAGAUGGGCCCGCGGUGCAUUAGCUAGUUGGUGAGGUAACGGCUCACCAAGGCAACGAUGCAUAGCCGACCUGAGAGGGUGAUCGGCCACACUGGGACUGAGACACGGCCCAGACUCCUACGGGAGGCAGCAGUAGGGAAUCUUCCGCAAUGGACGAAAGUCUGACGGAGCAACGCCGCGUGAGUGAUGAAGGCUUUCGGGUCGUAAAACUCUGUUGUUAGGGAAGAACAAGUACGAGAGUAACUGCUCGUACCUUGACGGUACCUAACCAGAAAGCCACGGCUAACUACGUGCCAGCAGCCGCGGUAAUACGUAGGUGGCAAGCGUUAUCCGGAAUUAUUGGGCGUAAAGCGCGCGCAGGCGGUUUCUUAAGUCUGAUGUGAAAGCCCACGGCUCAACCGUGGAGGGUCAUUGGAAACUGGGGAACUUGAGUGCAGAAGAGAAAAGCGGAAUUCCACGUGUAGCGGUGAAAUGCGUAGAGAUGUGGAGGAACACCAGUGGCGAAGGCGGCUUUUUGG